GGGCUCAUGGCUCAAUGGUAGAGCAUCACCCUUACAAGGUGAGGGUUCCAGGUUCGAGUCCUGGUGGGCCCA
rnacentral:tRNA from 1 species